CUGCCCCGUCACCCCGCGCGGCCCGGGAGAGUCGCAGCCAGUGCGCCCUUCGGCCGAGCCCGCCUCGGCACCCAGAGCGCUCCGGCCCUGCGGGGUUGCCAAAGAAAAGGAUGCCCGGAGCCCCCAGCCAAGCCCUGCUCGGAAAGAAAGGGCUCCCCAACAUCGCGAGGCAGCAAACUGAAAGCAAGAACAUGGCGAAGUGCAAACAAAUCCAGUCCACAAAAGGCAGAAAAAGACGAUUUGACAUCAGCUAAAUCCCUCUCUGCCGACGAGUUUUCCGAGCUCUUCUCCUCCUGUUCGCCCUCGUCUUUGAAGGAAAUCAGUUCGUCGUUGGCGCCUAGGUCAUCUCCUCCACCGCCGUUCAGCUGCGGCAUUUUUUUUCACCCACCAGCAGCAAUUUUGGAAGAAAAAUGAAGGAGGAAGAAAA